rnacentral:rRNA from 1 species
CCUACGGUUGGCAGCAGUGGGGAAUAUUGGGCAAUGGGCGCAAGCCUGACCCAGCAACGCCGCGUGAAGGAAGAAGGCUUUCGGGUUGUAAACUUCUUUUAAGGGGGAAGAGGAGAAGACGGUACCCCUUGAAUAAGCCACGGCUAACUCCGUGCCAGCAGCCGCGGUAAUACGGAGGAUGCGAGCGUUAUCCGGAUUUAUUGGGUUUAAAGGGUGCGCAGGCGGCCUGUUAAGUCAGCGGUAAAAGCCCGGGGCUCAACCCCGGCGAGCCGUUGAAACUGGCGGGCUGGAGUUGGAGAGAAGUACGCGGAAUGCGCGGUGUAGCGGUGAAAUGCUUAGAUAUCGCGCAGAACCCCGAUUGCGAAGGCAGCGUACCGGCUCCACACUGACGCUGAGGCACGAAAGCGUGGGUAUCGAACAGGAUUAGAUACCCGAGUAGUC